rnacentral:rRNA from 1 species
CCUACGGGAGGCUGCAGUGAGGAAUAUUGGUCAAUGGACGAGAGUCUGAACCAGCCAAGUAGCGUGAAGGAUGACUGCCCUAUGGGUUGUAAACUUCUUUUAUAAAGGAAUAAAACGAGGCACGUGUGCCUUUUUGCAUGUACUUUAUGAAUAAGGAUCGGCUAACUCCGUGCCAGCAGCCGCGGUAAUACGGAGGAUCCGAGCGUUAUCCGGAUUUAUUGGGUUUAAAGGGAGCGUAGAUGGGUUGUUAAGUCAGUUGUGAAAGUUUGCGGCUUAACCGUAAAAUUGCAAUUGAUACUGGUAGUCUUGAGUACAGUUGAGGUAAGCGGAAUUCGUGGUGUAGCGGUGAAAUGCUUAGAUAUCACGAAGAACCCCGAUUGCGAAGGCAGCUUACUAAACUGUGACUGACAUUGAUGCUCGAAAGUGUGGGUAUCAAACAGGAUUAGAUACCCUUGUAGUC